UCGGAACUAAAUCAAAUAUAAUAUUGCAACUCCUCUCUUAUAUCCUGCUGUUUUUCCUUGCUCCAUGCAUUGCUAGUGGUAAUUGCCACGACCGGAGCUGCCAAAAAAAAUCUCCUUCUGUUUAAGUUUCAGAUGUCAAAAAAGAUGUUAACAUAUUUUAUUUAUUCUAAAAUUAGAGAUACAUUUUUAUUUUAAAAUUAUAAAAUGACAUGAUAUUCCUGAUUUGUCAUUAUUUUUUUACCAUCACACCACCACGUGAACAACAUUUUAUUUCUAGCUAAUAAUAAUGAUAUAUUUGAUAAUAUAAAAUUAUCCUAAUUACCAUGUGAACAACAGAUCAAACACUUCAUCAUAAUAUAAUUAGCUAGAAAUAAUAUCUCUAAUUUUGGAAGAGAUGGAAUAUUAAAUUGAAUGUAUUUGUGAAUAAAUAAGGAAGGUUUAAUUAAUAUUUUUUACGUUUUAUGAACAAAAAUACUAAAAACAUAUUCUCAACUAUUUUCAUCAAAAUGUUAUACGUAAAAUUUUGUCCUCAUUUGAGUUAUCAUGCAGUAUUCUCUAUUGAACCUGAGUUUUAUAUUUAAUUAGUUCAUUAACAUACAUUAUUAUAAUUUUAUAAUUAAGGUAUUUCCUAUCCAAUUCUCCAGCGAACUAGAAGGAACGAACUAAGAUUGAACCAGCUUUAGCGACGUUUUUUCCGUCGCUAUAGCAUAGAAAGUCGGUGUUUAUACUAUAACGACGGAAAAAAUCGUCGUUAUAGUCGGUUCGCGCUGGAAAAAACCGGACUAUAUAUAUAUAGCAUGGGGAUCCAGACUGGGAGUCCGAACUGGCUUAAGUUACGAAUUUUAUUUUGAUUUUUUUUGUUUUUUUAAAACAACUAAAAAAAAAUUUAAUAUUUUAUGAAACUGAAAUUUUUACGUAAUACAGUAUUUUUGGUGUGAUUUGGAUGUAACAAUAGAGCACUAAACAGAAAAUGCAUAAGCACAAAGCCUGUACAAACACCUGAGACAAACCAAGUAUAAUUGUAUAAAUGUGACAGCUAAAACCCUAGUCCUGAAAUAAGCGCGCACUCACAUACAUACUAUUAAAUGAGCUGACAUAAAUAAUAUCACACAAAAUAGCAUAAAACCAUCAAAAACCCAAAAACAUUACAUGUACCGGACAUAACCGUAUACGUAUAAGCUGAACUAGAAAGUACCAACAAUGACCACAUUAAUAGAGCAAAACCCCAAAAAUGAGAAUGAAGAAACUCUCCCAGGAAUAAAAAUAUGCACUGGAGUGAUAGUGAGUAGACAUGUAGUGCAUUUGCAUAAAAUAUCGGGAAAAAACGAAGAAGCUCUAGAAACCAAAAUGCCUUAAAUAAAGCAAUUACAUAGUACAAAAAUGAACCAAUUGCACUAAUUUCAACUAAUAUAACCUCAAAAAACAAAUUAAAACCUAGAAGCCAGAACACAAAUUGCAUCUCUAAAUAAAGAUGGCCUGACCCAUCAACAAUAGCAAAAAAAUUCAAAUCAAUAGAGCAAAAACUCAAAUAUGAGAAUGAAGAAGCAGGCUCAGAAAUAUAAAUAUGCAUCUGGAGUACACUGAAUUUAAAAAGAAAGUAUCUUAACAUUCCUAGAAACCUAAAUGGCUGAAAUAACACAAUUACACAGUACAAAAAUAAACCGAGUGCAUUAAUCCCAACAUAUAAUCUCAUAUAAACGAAAUUCAGAAUAAAGCAUCUAAAAUAAAGUACCUCUAGAUAAAAGCUAAACAGACCCAUCAAAUAGCAAACAAUAUCCAAAUCAACAUUGAAAAAAACCCAAAUCCUAAAUCAAGAAAAAAAGUCGUAAAACAAAUAUUGAUAUCAAAGUAUAAAUCUUUACAUAUACAUGUACUGCAAGCAUAUAUAUAACUUAAUAAAUGAAUAGAACUUGCUAAAAACAAAUAGAAACACACAUAAAAUAGCUUCACAAUUUCCUCAAGACACAAAUACAAUAAAAUUCACAUCAUUUUACAAACCAUGAGAGAGUUCCAAGGAUCGUCUACUUUAUAUGUCAGCUUUUGCAGCGUAAUUUAGUGAUCUCUCACAAAAAUCAUUAUCUUGGUGAGUUUCCAUAAUACGGGGAAUGUUCCUUAUGCUUCAAACUCAAGACUUUCACCUCUUCCUUAUGAACCUGUAGAGUUAUAUGGUGCUCCGAUUGAUAUUCCUCUUAAUUCGGCUGCGAAAAAUGGAAUUGCUUACUAAUUCACACACCCACUAAAUAAGAUAAAUAAAGUUAUUAGUAACUAUCCAUUAAGACAUUAAAAAAAUGGGGUAGCUAUUCAAGAAUAAAAUUAUAUACAAUAGAUAUAAUUUUGUAUAUGAUUGUCAGAGAAACAAUGCCUAACACAUUGAGGCUCUUGAUUAAGCUUCAAAGAUAAAGAUUAAAGACAAAGAUAGCAAAUUAAAGAGUUUGAAAUGCUUUGCUAUGUAGUUAUUGGUUAUCCAACUAAAAGAGAAAGGUAAACUUCUCUUUUCAUUGUGUUAUUUUAGCAAAUAUGUGAUACACACAACUUCUAAAUAAUAUGAAAUCAAACUUGGUAACCUACAAUUAACAAAUAAAAUUUUUAAUUAGAUAACUUUGUAUUAAUCAAACACACUAUGCCAAAAAAAGCUUUUGAAGCCAGUAACUCGUUGAUCAAUCAUUGGUCACUAUCCCUCAUCUUACUCUGUUUCAUUAAAAUCUUUGAAGUUUAUGAGGUGCCAUUAAGCUUCUUCAGUUCAAUCAAAAAUUCAUUAUUAUUCAAUUCAAUCAAAAAUUCAUUAGGCAACAUACAAUUCAAACUAUUCAUGAAAGUAAUUAUUAAUUAAAAAAUAAUAACUACCUUUUAUCAUACUCCAUUCAUUCUAACUAUAAAAUCAAUUACCUUUGGAAUGAGGUAAUAUAAAAGCAUCUAAAUCGUCAUCAAAUACAGUCUCUUUAUCAAGCUGACACAUCACAUUCUUUUGUUGAGAACUACCUACAAAGCUCAAUAAAACCAAAACCAUUAACAAAAACUUUUUGUGAGAAUCCAUCCAACUCUUUUGUUGUAACUGCCCACAAAAUUUCAACCUUUAAAAUAUUUCAUGAGCAUUUAUAAAAUAUAUUUGAUGCAACAUAUUGCAAAUGUAAAGUAUACAUAUAACUAUUGUGAUCAAACAUAUGGAAUGUAAAAAAUAAAAUGAGUCAAAUACAAAAAUACAUAAGAUAUGAGUCAAAUAAAAUACAGAAGAUAUGAGACUACCAAAUAUAAAUAGCAAAACCCUUGAUCAAUUUAAGCCAAUUUUGUUCAAUCUCGCUGAAUUAAUUACCGAGUUGGUCUAACCUUGUGUAUUUAGCACAAUAAAUAUAUAUAUUACAAACACCUACUCAAGAACAAAACUGAAGCCCAAGUAAAAUCAAAUGAAUGGUUAAAACCAUAAUGAAAGCUGUGACACUGUUGACUUUGACUUUUUUCUCCUAGCAAGUUGACAAAAAUCUGAUUUGACAUUGUGUUAGUAAGUUUGGAUGGAAACUUUGAAAGUGAGGCAAAGUGACCUUUCAAUUACUGAGGAAGAGAAAUUUGAAAGAGGGGGGUGAUAAUAGCUUUUGUUCAUGAGUUAAGGAGAGAAAGUGGGGGUUAUUUUCCACCCAUUUCUCUCAUGUUGAAAGAGAAACCAACAAAUAAGAGUUUUGGGAAUAAAACAAUUAACAUCCUCCAAAAUACUUUAUUUUCCACCCUUUUUAAAAAGCACAAAUACUUUGUGAGAUCAUAGAUGAACUUAUAGAACCUCAGAAGAUACAAAAAGGCCAUAAACAGAAGACAAUUAUAGAGCACAACUCCUUUUAUAAUUGCAAUAGAAUGCUUAAUAUAUCAAAUAAAAUAAAUAGUAAAAGCUCUAUCUUAGAAGGUCAAAUAACAUGACCAAGUUUCUAAAUGUUGUCAAAUUUGAGAAAAAAUACAUCAGAUUACUCCUAGUAAGAUUCUGGAUAUACUUACAAUUUGCCGACUCCUCAUCCUCAUCGCACCAUUUGUUCCAAUCAACCUCAAGGUAUGGAGCAAUAAAUCAUUCAAUACAUUCAGAACAGAUAAUCCAAAUAUGAGAACAGACCGAUUGUAAACCAAAUUUCAUUCAAUUGUUAUGUUCUUUAUGGAUUAAACAAUCGUUCAACAAAGGAAUUGCUUCAAAAAACUAAAUACAUACUUAACAAACAACAAAUAAUUUUAACAAAGUAAUCACCACAUCAACCAGAAUGAAUUCAUACGUGAUAACUCGAUCAAAUAAUCGAAGAGAUCUGAGAAAAUAACUUGAGAUCACCAAAUAACUACUGUUCAAUUACAAAAUAGUCCCAUCAUCAGCCAAACUUGAAGGAAUUCAUAAAAUACUACUGAAAACAAUCAGACAGAUGGGAAACAGUUUCAAAUCAUCAAAAUUGCUAGGGUUUCAGUACAUGUGGAUCAAUAACAUUCAACAUUGAUCAAAUCCACAAUUAUAUAAACGCAUAAGCACCACAUAAAUCGUAAAAGUGAAGAAAACAAAAGAAUGAUGAUCAUAUAUAUACCUUCGAACCAAUUAAGCAUUGUUAUAUGCGUUGGUUGUAGAAUAUUUGUGGAAGAAUCAUAAAUCGGUUUAGCUACAAAAAUCAACAAACUUUAAAGCUUCGAUUUGCAAAAUAUCAAAAUAGGUAUGAUUGUGACAUUUUAUCAAACACCUCAUGCACAAUAUCAAAAUCUAAGAGAAAGAAAUUUGUAAUAUGGGAAAAAUCCAAACUUACCAGUGAUAGUAUUUUUCUUUUUUUUGCAGUUUAAGUGAAAUCUCCCACCAGAGUUCUUGAUGCCCGUGAGCUCGGUAAAAAGCUAAUUUGAUCACCAAGAGAAAAAGCUAAUCGCGGGGAUUGAGGGGUUUCUUAGAAAUCAUCAAGAGAAAAAGUACAAAAAAAAAGAUGAAUCAAUUAGUAGUAUAAUGAAAGUUUAACCUGGUAUUCGGAAACAAAAUUCAUCAGCCUAAUUGGAGCCGGAAAUCCUUCAUCAGCCAUCAGACGGUGGUGAUCUGCGAUUCGGCGAGGAUUGAGACAAUUUCAUGUUGGGAGUUAAAAUCAAGUUCCUCUUCAUUCUCCUCCAAACUCAUUAGCGGGAAAGACAGGAAGAAAGGAAUAGAACGAGGAAGACGUGAGUUAAGCAAAAAUGGAAAAGGAAGAGGAAGAGCCGAACGAUUGCCGAGGAUGAUUAUGAGGAAGAGAAAGAGGAAGAGGUGAGAUGAGACGAACUCGCUAAAUAGCUCAGCAAUAAGAAUGAAAUUGAACUAAAUUGACUCAAAUUG
rnacentral:lncRNA from 1 species